UCUCCGUAGGUGAACCUGCGGAAGGAUCAUUACUGUAUAACCGAGGUGCGAGGGCUGUUGCUGACCCGAACGGUUGCGCACGCCCGAGUGCCCUCACACAAAUCCAUCUCACCCCUAGCUGCACCACCGCGGGGGUCCCGCUUCCGCUUGUGCGGGGGGGGGCCUACGGUUUCACACAACCUUUUUUUUCAGUGUAGUCUGUGUUUAUUGUUUUUUCGAUCACGCAAUUCAAACACCUUUCAAUAACGGCUCUCUUGGCUCUCGCACCGAGGAAAAAGG
rnacentral:misc_RNA from 1 species